AACGAACGCUGGCGGCAUGCCUAACACAUGCAAGUCGAACGGGAUCCUAGCUUGCUAGGUGAGAGUGGCGGACGGGUGAGUAACACGUGGGAAUCUGCCUUUUGGUUCGGGAUAACCGCGGGAAACUGCGGCUAAUACCGAAUGCCCUCGAGAGAGGAAAGAUUUAUCGCCAGAAGAGGAGCCCGCGUCCGAUUAGGUAGUUGGUGGGGUAAAGGCCUACCAAGCCGACGAUCGGUAGCUGGUCUGAGAGGAUGAUCAGCCACACUGGGACUGAGACACGGCCCAGACUCCUACGGGAGGCAGCAGUGGGGAAUAUUGGACAAUGGGCGAAAGCCUGAUCCAGCAAUGCCGCGUGAGUGAUGAAGGCCCUAGGGUUGUAAAGCUCUUUUACCAGGGAUGAUAAUGACAGUACCUGGAGAAUAAGCUCCGGCUAACUCCGUGCCAGUAGCCGCGGUAAU
rnacentral:rRNA from 1 species